AGUGUGAUUGCUGGGGCAAAUGGUGGUUCCAUUUCAAGUUUUCUAAGGAAUCUCCAUACUGCUUUCCAUAAUGGCUGCAUCAAUUUGAAGUCCCAUGAGCAAU
rnacentral:pre_miRNA from 1 species